rnacentral:lncRNA from 1 species
CGAGAAUUGAGUGUUAAAGAACACUUUGCAUGUUCUUGAUCAAGUUUGUGUUCACUUACUGGCAAAAGAGGCCAAAGUGUAGGCACAAGCAAGAAUAUUGCCCAGUUCCUUGUUGGAUGUGUGAAAGAAUGGUGUCCCCUGAGGGAUGCUGUCAGAGGAAAAUACCCUCUGUUUGGGUUCACUUAUUCUAUGGGAUUCAGCAGCCCAGGCAGUUUUCUCACCCCAUUGCGUUCAUUUUCCCUUGCUCACUGCAGGUCACCUGAGGCGUGUGUUCAGAGGUGCCGAUCCUGAGAGCCCAGAACCAACAGCAGACUCUUCUCUGGCUCCCUCUGCUCCUGGAGAAGAGGCCAAAGAGGAGCAAAAUGACCACAAGCCUCCAGCAGUGGUCACACCCCAGCCUGAACAUUCAGAGCCUGUUGUUCUGGAGAAAGAGCAGGAGCAGAUUGAUUUGUCAGAGGGGCAAUGCCAGACUGAGGGAGAGCUGUUGCCAGCCCGAGAGCAGGAAGAGCAGCUUGGGCAGCAGGUGGAAGAGGCACUGGAGAAUGGCCAGAAUAUCAAGGCAGAGCCACAGGCAGAGUUGCCUGAAGCUCAGAGUGCCAUUGUGGCAGUGAAGGGAAGGCACCAGGAAGACAUGAGGAGCACCGAAGAGGAGAUGAGGCUCCAUCAGCAGAGAGGAGACCAACAAAACCGGGUGAGUGAAAGAGUGGCAGCCACUCCACUCAUUAAGCUGUCUCUCUCUUCUGCUUUACAGAACUUCAAGGAAAAGCUGCAGGCAGAGCUGCAGGAAGCUCGGGCUAGGAUCGAGGCAAGGGAGAAGAGGCUGGAGGAAGGAAUGAAAAUCAUCAAAGAGAAAACAAAUCACCUGAUUGAGGAGAUGGAGGUUCUAGACAAUCAAGUUGGAGUGUUGACAUCUCACCUGGCAGCCUCGGAAGGCUUCCAGCAAAUGACUGGUGAUGAAGAGACCCAAGGUCGACAUGAGGCACAGCAACUGUCCCAAGCAGAGAUACUGAAGGUUGAGCGUGUCUCAAAGAUGGUGGAGGAAAAGUGGACUCAGUGGGAGGAGAUCUACACAGGCUCUUCUAUUGAAUCUGCUGCAUCAUCAUCAUCAUCAUCAUCAGCAGCAGCAGCAGCAGACAGCAGCAGCAGCAGCAGCAGCAUCAUCUAA